UUGUUAUCUUCAAAAGGUUAUACAGCAUUUGAAAUUCAAAAGGAAGGUGUUACCUGCUAUCUUGCAUAAAUCUCUAACAAUUGCAAAUGGAAUAUAUUAUCGUCAGAUCCGAUUGCUUAUAUCCAAUCUUGCCUAGUCUCAGCAUUUGUAAAGUGCACCCAAGUGCUUUGCUGGUGUACAGACAGACCCUAUUCCAAAAUUACCAAUAUCAUUCUCAAUGACCAGUUGAGCCCAUUUAGAGUGAAGGAGUUCACAGAAUGGCUGGGUGGAUGAACUCAAGCUAUCAGAACCAGCGAUCAGCCAUAGUGUGGACACUGGAUAUGAUCCCUCCCUGUGCAGUGAGUGCUCCUGCUCCUACUGUGUGUCUCCAUGUUACCUCAGACGGCAUCUGCAUCCUGGUGAAGGCCAAGCAGGUAUUCCUUGAUGCUUCUACCACCCAGCCGGUGAAGGACAGAACAGCCACAAAAGGAAAACUGAACAAGGUUGGAGACUGGAAGCCUUCCAGGAACUAAGGAAAAGCCAUACAACUGGAAGAAUCCCAGGAACACGGUGUCUUAAACAAGGAGUUUUUUGAGACCGGCAACUUUGAUGAUGUCCCAUUAAUACAUAGCUGACUUCCAAGAGGUCCAUCUAACUGAAAGACAUUCUUGAUUUACUGCAGUUACAUGGACACAGUAAUUUGGAUUUUAAUGAAGAGGAAAAUGUUUUAUCCCCAUAUCUAGUUGUCCACAAGCUUACGAUCUACUGGGAAAAAUCAAAUGAACGUAAAUAUUUAGGUAACAAUUCAGCAACAAGUGGUAUCUCUGGUUAAGUAUCUGGGAGGGCGGGGUGCUUGGGCACAUUUUCCGGAGGAGAUGAAGUCUGAGCUCCACUUGGAAGUUGAGCAGUUCGGGAGAAGAAAGGCAAGUCUUCUAGGUGAAUGGCAAAGGACACGGAUGCUGCAGACACGGAGGAAACGGGGGGAGAGAGAUGUAAAAGCAAAAUGCCACCAAUUCAAAGGAUAUAUUUCUGAGUUACUUAAAACCAUGAACUGUGAUGAACACGUUUGUCUGUGACGGCCUGCUCCAUACCUGGUACAAAGGGGAAGCUGAAGUGUACAUGACGAAUAGACAAGUGCAUGAAUAAGUGGAUAAAUGGAAAGCGAGCUGGACUUUCUCAUCUUAAUCUGAUUAACCACUUCACCCUCUCCCUAGACAUCUAUUCCUACAUGAGCCCAACUUCAGCAUCGGUGCUUUGAUACAAAGAGCCGUUGCCUGGAGGUCAGCAAAUACAAGAUCAGUUCUAGUCCUUGUGCUUCUCAGGUGGCUGUCCUCGUGUGAUUCACUGUAACCACUCUCCAAGACUUAUUUGUUCAUGUGUUUGAGAUAAGGAUAAUAUUCAUCUUAUCAUUUUGCUUUGAAUAUGAAAUAAGAGAGGACUGGGUACUUACUCUAGU
ensembl:lincRNA